rnacentral:rRNA from 1 species
GACGAACGCUGGCGGCGUGCUUAACACAUGCAAGUCGAGCGGUAAGGCCCUUUCGGGGUACGACGAGCGGCGAACGGGUGAGUAACACGUGGGUGACCUGCCCUCCAGCUCUGGGAUAAGCCUGGGAAACCGGGUCUAAUACCGGAUAUGACUCCAUGACGCAUGUUGUGGGGUGGAAAGCCUUGUGCGGCUGAGGAUGGGCCCGCGGCCUAUCAGCUUGUUGGUGGGGUGAUGGCCUACCAAGGCGACGACGGGUAGCCGGCCUGAGAGGGCGACCGGCCACACUGGGACUGAGACACGGCCCAGACUCCUACGGGAGGCAGCAGUGGGGAAUCUUGCGCAAUGGGCGAAAGCCUGACGCAGCGACGCCGCGUGA